GAGGUUGUAGUUCAGCUGGUUAGAAUGUCGGAUUGUGAUUCCGAAGGUCGCGGGUUCGAACCCCGUCAUCCUCC
rnacentral:tRNA from 1 species